rnacentral:rRNA from 1 species
GACAGAGGAUGCAAGCGUUAUCCGGAAUGAUUGGGCGUAAAGCGUCUGUAGGUGGCUUUUUAAGUCUGCCGUCAAAUCCCAGGGCUUAACCCUGGACAGGCGGUGGAAACUACCAAGCUGGAGUACGGUAGGGGUAGAGGGAAUUCCUGGUGUAGCGGUGAAAUGCGUAGAGAUCAGGAAGAACACCGGUGGCGAAAGCGCUCUGCUGGACCUUAACUGACACUGAGGGACGAAAGCUAGGGGAGCGAAUGGG